AGAAGAAAACAAAAAGAACUCUAAUCACAC
rnacentral:piRNA from 1 species